UACGUAGGGGGCAAGCGUUGUCCGGAUUUAUUGGGCGUAAAGCGUGCGCAGGCGGUUUUGUAAGCCAGAUGUGAAAGCCCCGGGCUUAACCUGGGAAUGGCAUUUGGGACUGCAAGGCUGGAGUACGGCAGAGGGAGGUGGAAUUCCAGGUGUAGCAGUGAAAUGCGUAGAUAUCUGGAGGAACACCGAUGGCGAAGGCAGCCUCCUGGGCUAGUACUGACGCUCAUGCACGAAAGCGUGGGGAGCAAACAGG
rnacentral:rRNA from 1 species